AUUUCUUCCGCGUCACAGAUUCCUCUGGUUUUAAGAAAAAGUACUGCGGUGUCAAGGGUUCUCUGACUGUGUCUGAUAAAUCUAGUAAAGUUACUGUCUUGUUCAAAACAAACAAGAAGAAAUCUAAUACAGGAUUUUCCUGCUCUGUCAGAGCUUCAGUGCCAGACUCCCAAACAACAACUGUAGACC